GCCGGGGUGCCCGAGAUAGGUCGAAGGGGUAGGCCUGGAGAGCCUAUGGUCCUUUACGGGCCUCGUGGGUUCAAGUCCCACCCCCGGCG
rnacentral:tRNA from 1 species